AUCUCAGUAGCUCAAUUGGCAGAGUCGCGGUCUCCAAAACCGAAGGUUGCAGGUUCAAGUCCUGCCUGGGAUG
rnacentral:tRNA from 1 species